rnacentral:rRNA from 1 species
GACGAACGCUGGUGGCGUGCUUAACACAUGCAAGUCGAACGAUGAAGCCGGAGCUUGCUCUGGUGAAUUAGUGGCGAACGGGUGAGUAACACGUGAGUAACCUGCCCUUGACUCUGGGAUAACUGCGGGAAACUGUAGCUAAUACCGGAUACGACCCUCGGAGGCAUCUCCUGGGGGUGGCAAGACUUUCGGUCAAGGAUGGACUCGCGGCCUAGCAGCUAGUUGGGGAGGUAAAGGCUCACCAAGGCGAGGAGGGGGAGCCGGCCUGAGAGGGUGACCGGCCACACUGGGACUGAGACACGGCCCAGACUCCUACGGGAGGCAGCAGUGGGGAAUAUUGCACAAUGGGCGCAAGCCUGAUGCAGCAACGCCGCGUGAGGGAUGACGGCCUUCGGGUUGUAAACCUCUUUUAGCAGGGAAGAAGCGAAAGUGACGGUACCUGCAGAAAAAGCACCGGCUAACUACGUGCCAGCAGCCGCCGUAA